UACGUAGGGGGCGAGCGUUGUCCGGAUUUAUUGGGCGUAAAGAGCUCGUAGGCGGUUCAACAAGUCGGUCGUGAAAGUUCAGGGCUCAACCCUGAAAUGUCGAUCGAUACUGUUGUGACUAGGAUACGGUAGAGGUGAGUGGAAUUCCGAGUGUAGCGGUGAAAUGCGUAGAUAUUCGGAGGAACACCAAUUGCGAAGGCAGCUCACUGGGCCGCUAUCGACGCUGAGGAGCGAAAGCUAGGGGAGCAAACAGGAUUAGAUACCCUGGUAGUCCUAGCUGUAAACGAUGGAUACUAGACGUAGGAACUGGAUUGACGGUUUCUGUGUCGUAGCUAACGCGUUAAGUAUCCCGCCUGGGGAGUACGGUCGCAAGACUAAAACUCAAAGGAAUUGACGGGACCCCGCACAAGCGGCGGAGCAUGCGGCUUAAUUCGAUGAUACCCGUAGAACCUUACCUGGACUUGACAUAUAGGGUCUAGCUAUAGAGAUAUAGUGUGCAUUAGCGCCCUAUACAGGUGGUGCAUGGCUGUCGUCAGCUCGUGUCGUGAGAUGUUGGGUUAAGUCCCGCAACGAGCGCAACCCCUAUCCUAUGUUGCCAGCAUUUAGUUGGGGACUCAUAGGAGACUGCCGGUGAUAAACCGGAGGAAGGUGGGGACGGCGUCAAGUCAUCAUGCCCCUUAUGUCCAGGGCUGCACGCAUGCUACAAUGGCAAGUACAACGAGUCGCAAUACCGCGAGGUGGAGCAAAUCUCUUAAAGCUUGUCUCAGUUCGGAUAGGAGUCUGCAACUCGACUCCUUGAAGUUGGAGUCGCUAGUAAUCGCAAAUCAGCAAAGUUGCGGUGAAUACGUUCUCGGGGUU
rnacentral:rRNA from 1 species